CGAGCUCGGCGAGCUUGGCCCGGUAGUUUUCGAGAUUCGGGGUCUCGGAACUGUCCAUGUGGGUGACGCCGAUUGCCACGGCGGUGCUCGA
rnacentral:tRNA from 1 species